rnacentral:rRNA from 1 species
GAUGAACGCUAGCUACAGGCUUAACACAUGCAAGUCGAGGGGUAACGAGAGGAAAGCUUGCUUUCCUUGUCGACGACCGGCGCACGGGUGAGUAACGCGUAUCCAACCUGCACCCAACUAGGGAAUAACCUUGCGAAAGUAAGACUAAUACCCUAUAAUUUCCUCAGAUGUCAUCUGACGAGGAAUAAAGAUUUAUCGGUUGUGGAUGGGGAUGCGUCGGAUUAGCUUGUUGGCGGGGUAACGGCCCACCAAGGCAACGAUCAGUAGGGGUUCUGAUAGGAAGGUCCCCCACAUUGGAACUGAGACACGGUCCAAACUCCUACGGGAGGCAGCAGUGAGGAAUAUUGGUCAAUGGGCGGAAGCCUGAACCAGCCAAGUAGCGUGCAGGAUGACGGCCCUAUGGGUUGUAAACUGCUUUUAUACAGGAAUAAAGUUAGCCACGUGUGGUUAUUUGUAGGUACUGUAUGAAUAAGGACCGGCUAAUUCCGUGCCAGCCGCCGCGGUAA